rnacentral:rRNA from 1 species
AAUAGAUACCCCGGUAGUCCACGCCGUAAACGAUGAGUGCUAAGUGUUAGAGGGUUUCCGCCCUUUAGUGCUGCAGCUAACGCAUUAAGCACUCCGCCUGGGGAGUACGGCCGCAAGGCUGAAACUCAAAGGAAUUGACGGGGGCCCGCACAAGCGGUGGAGCAUGUGGUUUAAUUCGAAGCAACGCGAAGAACCUUACCAGGUCUUGACAUCCUCUGCCAACCCUAGAGAUAGGGCGUUCCCCUUCGGGGGACAGAGUGACAGGUGGUGCAUGGUUGUCGCCAGCUCGUGUCGUGAGAUGUUGGGUUAAGUCCCGCAACGAGCGCAACCCUUGAUCUUAGUUGCCAGCAUUCAGUUGGGCACUCUAAGGUGACUGCCGGUGACAAACCGGAGGAAGGUGGGGAUGACGUCAAAUCAUCAUGCCCCUUAUGACCUGGGCUACACACGUGCUACAAUGGAUGGUACAAAGAGCAGCGAACCCGCGAGGGUAAGCCAAUCUCAUAAAGCCAUUCUCAGUUCGGA